rnacentral:rRNA from 1 species
CGGGUAGUUAGUGGCGCACGGGUGCGUAACGCGUGGGAAUCUGCCCCUUGGUUCGGAAUAACAGUUGGAAACGACUGCUAAUACCGGAUGACGACGUAAGUCCAAAGAUUUAUCGCCGAGGGAUGAGCCCGCGUAGGAUUAGGUAGUUGGUGUGGUAAAGGCGCACCAAGCCGACGAUCCUUAGCUGGUCUGAGAGGAUGAUCAGCCACACUGGGACUGAGACACGGCCCAGACUCCUACGGGAGGCAGCAGUGGGGAAUAUUGGACAAUGGGCGAAAGCCUGAUCCAGCAAUGCCGCGUGAGUGAUGAAGGCCUUAGGGUUGUAAAGCUCUUUUACCCGGGAUGAUAAUGACAGUACCGGGAGAAUAAGCUCCGGCUAACUCCGUGCCAGCAGCCGCGGUAAUACGGAGGGAGCUAGCGUUAUUCGGAAUUACUGGGCGUAAAGCGCACGUAGGCGGCUUUGUAAGUAAGAGGUGAAAGCCCAGAGCUCAACUCUGGAAUUGCCUUUUAGACUGCAUCGCUUGAAUCAUGGAGAGGUCAGUGGAAUUCCGAGUGUAGAGGUGAAAUUCGUAGAUAUUCGGAAGAACACCAGUGGCGAAGGCGGCUGACUGGACAUGUAUUGACGCUGAG